AUAUGGAGCUCCUGAGCCAGGGAGCACAUCAGAGCCACAGUCUCAACCUAAGCGCAGCUGCCGCACUGCCAGAUCCCGAACCCACCGUGCCAGGCCAGGGAUCAAACCCCUGUCCCACUGGCUCCCAAGAUGCUGCUGAUCCCAAUGCACCACAGCGGAAGCUCCGAAAAUGAUGCCAUUCUUGAGGCUCCAUUAGGAAAGAGAGAACUCGGAUUUCUACCAAGAAUGGGGAAGAAUAAAAGACCAAAGCACUGCCAAGCAUUUUGUCAACAAAGGCUAUUUUAAGGUUUAUUUUUGAAAUGUUCACUAAGAAAAGAAUAUACAGUUUGGGAAAAGACACAAAGCAGACAUACGCAUCAAGAUGUAUGUGCUUUGGAAGGAGCCAGACUUAGGUGUGAAUGGGUGCUUCCUUAUUACAAAUUCCGCGCCUUGACCAAUGCAUUAAGCUCUCUGCUCUUUGGUGCUUUUUUAUGUAGAAAAUGGGGAAUUGUGAGGCUAAAAUGGGGAAAUGAAGAUAAAAGACCUGCCUUGAAUGUAACAGACAUUCAACUGUUAUGAGUUCCAUUUCCUCCUCUCCUGGCUUCCUGAAAGUGGCAUAUGUGCCGUAUUCCUCUUGCAAAUAGGGACUCUAUAGAAUUCUGAAACAUCUUUGUCUUUCAACAUAUUGAUAUUUCCCCAAAUCCGUUAACACAAGUGUGAACAGAUUUUUUAAUCGUCACAGCAGCAUGCUUACCUUGGAAUAAGACGUCAAUGCAGAAAGAUCAAAGCCACAUUAUUCAUCACCACUGGUUGUCCAAAAAAGCAACUUAGUAUUAACUGAUGGGUUUGAAAUAGCAGCAUGCAACACAGCUACUUAUUAAUCCAUUAGGCCUAAGGGUCUGCACCCACAUACUUGGUCAUGUUUUGUUUGAAAAACAAGUUUUGCUUUCAGCCUUGGAAACAACUUACAUGAAGACCAGACGGCAUAUGGUUCCAGUUAAUUAAAAAUUUCCCAGGAAAAUACACCAACUAAAGAAGUCCUUUGCCACCCAAUUCAAGGAUUGAGUCAUCGGCCACAGAAGUCACUGACCUUCAACACACCCUCGAAGGAUUUCGGGGCAGAAUCAGGAAUGGGGCAUUUUGUGCUCUGGGAAAACUGGUAGAACAGGCCUUCGGAUAAUUAGAUUAUUUCCAGGAGAAAUUUUAUGAACUAAAUUUCUUGCAUCUUCCCAUACUUAGAAAGGCAUUAAAACCAUUAACUAAGACAUAUAUUCCUGGACUAGCAGCAACCUUCUACAAGAUGUGUGCUUGGGGAGUUCCCAUCAUGGCUCGGCAGAAACGAAUCUGACUAGCAUCCGUGAAGAUGCAGGUUCAAUCCCUGGCCUUGUUAGUGGGUUAAGGAUCCAGCAUUGCCAUGAGCCACGGGGUAGGUUGCAGACGUUGCUGUGGCUGUGGGAUGGGCCAGCAGCUACAGCUCCGAUUCAACCCCUAGCCUGGGAACCUCCUAUGUGGUGGGUGCAGCCUAAAAAGCAAAAACAAAACAAAACCAAAAACAGUGUGCUUAACUGCAUGUACUACCCAUUCUCCAAAAUCACAUAUAUAACUGACCUCUCCUCCUGCCCCUUCAGAGCAGUUCCAAGCUAUCAGACAGGCUGUCUCCUAGGCUACAGUCCUCAGUGAGUCCCCAAAUAAAGCAAACUCACAGCUUUCAUAUUGUGUUUCAAUUUCAGUCUACCAAUAUAUAGAUAAAUUACGUACUGAGUUAAUACCAAAAAAUCAGUAAUGGAAUAUCCAUUUCUGGUCUUCUUUGGUAAAAGAAAAUCAUUCAAAUCCUGGGUGUGCAUUUUUUUGGAAAUGAUACCCUUUCAAACACCCUGAUUUCCAAAACGUUUCACAACGUUACAUGAUCAAAAGCAAGGCUUUGGUUAUUUGGCUGUAAGCUCUAAGACGGUCAGAGGUUUCUGGAAGCAAGUUCUAACCACAGUGCCCUGUGACAAGCUGAUGCCUGCUGUUCGUGUGAAAUGCUGGCUAAUCUUCCUUCACUAUCCAGACCACUGCCUGCUCCUGGGGGAGGAGUACGAGGCUCAGAGGCAGAGUAGUUCCCAAUCCCCACUCUCCUAAGGGCAAACAACCCCUCUGUUUUUUUCCUGUCUUCUCUCCCUUCUGGGAAGACAGGGGUAAUGAGACCUAAGGAUGCACGUGCUUACGCUCACACUGAAAUGGAAUAUCCAAUUCCACCCCCUCACAAUCCAGGCUAAAGGUGUUCUACCCUCUUUGCAAUCGACUUCUUCAAAGAGCAAAUUAUGGUGCAGCCCAAUCCGGCAACAGAAUUGCACUGGGACACGGAGCUCAAGUGUGGUGUCCUCCUCGAGACAAAGAGCUUGACAGUGACCCGGGCUGGAAGUUUUGCUUCACCCAUUUAUUUGCCAUCACUAAGUAAACAGAAUGAGAAGCAUAAUAGUACUUCACUGCAUUGAAUCAUGGGACCAAAGGGGGAUUCUAGCCCAACUUCCCAUCCAAAGGGAGAGAGCCUUCUGUAACAUUGCUGCAUCACUCUGCCUUGACCCCUCCCUUGACAGAAACAAGGCACCCCAUUGCAUAGUCUGUUAAAGAUGGUUUUUUAGGAGUUACCUGUUGUGGCUCAGUGGGUUAAGGACCCAACACAGUCUCUGUGAGGAUGCAGGUUCCAUCCCUGGCCUCAUUCAGUGGUCUAAGGGUCUGGUGUUGCCACAAAGUGCAGCGUAGAUCACAGAUGUGGCUCAUACAUAUCUGGUGUGGCUAGGGCACAGGCUGCAGCUGUAGCUCUGAUUCAACCCUUAGCCUGAGAACUUCAAUAAGCUGCAGGUGCAGCCAUUACAAACAAAAAGACGGUUUUUUGUCUUAGACUUUUGUCUCCCUAGGACACACGUCACGGGUCCUCAGGCUGCCCUCUGUCACUACAGAAAACGAGAUGAACCAUUUCUUUCGCAUUGGAACCAUCACCGCUCCCAUCUCCCACCCACCAAGUAUUUUCUCCUCCAGCAAAACAGUCACAUUUUUAUCAGCCAUUUCUUAGGUGGUCCCCAGCAUCACAGACCCAACUCAGAUGAUACUUCAGUUCAUCUGUGCUUCCCUGAAAACGGUGCUAGAUCUAAAGACAAGUCUGCCGGGCGCAGGAGAGCAGGAGGCAAUGACCUCCUCUGCCUUCGACACCCUGAAACUCUUAAUGCUGUCGACUGCACCCCAACUUUGGGGACACCCGCACCUCUUUAGAGCACUCAGGGCUCUGACCGUUUCCUAGGACUCUGGUGUGGUCGGAAUGGUGGGCAAGCUGGGCUCCCUCUUUUCUGAGCAGGACUCCUUUGCUUCCUUCAGCUGAAAUUCAGGACUUGAUGGUUCUUUAUUAUUAAAUUACCUCAUAGUAGUAUUGACACACGAGCCUCGUCUUUUGAGAUAUUUCUGGGGCAUGACUGUUAUUUGAUGUGUUUGGCUGACUUUUCCUCCGCUGCGGCAUAUCCAGAGGUUGCACAGACCUGUGAAUUCUGUCCUCACCCAAGUAAGCCACACAGGGAGAUGUACUAAGAAGAAGGUCAGGGGUACUGAGGUCUUCUCCAUGGCUUGAUGCUAAAUUGUUCAUGAAUUGGCAUUUCUGGGACCAAAUUUGCCAAGUGACUGCAAAUCCCCUAACUAUCCGGCCAUGUCUACAAAUCCCCGUAACUACCCAGUCAUCCCCAACCCCGUCAUUGUAAUUGCUCUACCAUGUCCAGUUCCAUCUUUGUCAAAUUCUCCUGGAUCCUCGUUUAAAAGGCAGCUUUUAGAAGCUCCACUUUACAGAGAAUGGAAUCAGAAUAUCUAGAGAUGAGCCUGAUAAUCUGCACAUGUCACAUUCCCCAGGGCUGCUUUCACAUGUUCAAGUUUAAGAUUCCACCCCACUACCCCCACCACUGAUGUAGCCAGUGUCUGCAACUCUCCUUAUCUCACCUUGAACAUCUGUAUAUGUGUGAUGCAGCAGAGAGGGUCUGGAGCCAAAACCUUCUUUCACUAUCCUAGGCCUAUGGUUUUCAAAUAGUGGUCCUCAGACCUGCAGCAUCAACAUUACCAGGGAGUUGUUAGAAACGUAAAUUCUCAGACCCACCACAGACCUGCAAUCCAUUUAAGCAAGUCCUGCAGGUGAUUUUGAUGCAUAGCAAUCCAAUGUAGCAAGUUCUGCGGGUGAUUUUAAGAACUCUACCAUAGGUGAAUACUUCACCUGUGGCAUAGAGCCUUGAAUCACCUGGUGUCCUUACAUCAGGAGACUGGAGGAGACUCUGGGUUUUUUUCUGAGGAAGAUUCUGUCCUGUUUCUUAGCUUCUCUUUUAAGCCAAAGAUAGCAAAUACCAGAUACCUGGGCUUCCAGUCCCCGCUCCCACAGUUGAUUAUCACAGCAAGCCCUCUCUAUCAGCUCUCCAGAAAACUAGAAGACAGAGUUGGCUGGACAGAUCCUAUCCUGCUACGGUCCACACGGGCGUGGUGGGGCGGGCAGAGGUCCGUGCAUCCCCUCGUUCCGAUCGGGAGCCUGAAUCUCAUGAGACAUUCACUGUGAUCUGGUCACAGGAGUCACCACCUAGGGAUCUACCCUUGAUCCUCAACACAAAGCAUCUGCUCUCCAGGCGCUUGGAAACAGAACGUUAAACCUUUGUACUGUGUAGACUUUACAGAGCAGUGGAUCUCAACUCUGACUGCAUAGGGGAAUUAUGUGGGGAAUUAUCUGAAAUGCUGAUGACCAGGCCCGGUCCCAGACCUAUUGUGUUGGACUGUGGGGUGCGGUCAGGCUUCGGUAGUCCCAUAACCUCCACAGGUGAUUCUGGUGCAGAAACAGGGUUGAGAGCCACCAGCGAACAAUCAAAAACUAUGUGCACCUCGCUCAAGUCAGAUUAUCAGAUGGACAAGUUGAUGGAACUGCACUGUUCUGAUCUCUGAAGAACUGCUUUUUUUCCUGCUGUCCUCCGGAGUUGUGUCAUUCUUGACCGACAAUGAAAGAGAUUAUACAUAUAGAUAACCAACCAAUCAACCCACCCAAGGGUACUGGGAAAUUCUGUAGAGUCGUGUAAUGAUGAGGACUAUAUACAGGCUCUGCAUUGAAAUGCCCAGGUUCAAAGCCAGCCUUACUGAGUGACUUUAGGCAAGUUUUCAAUCUCUCUAAUCCUCAGCGUUUCACUUGACAGAUGGAAAUAAUUAAAGGAUCGCCCCUAAGAGGUUGUUAGGGUGAUUUGAUGAGCAAAUCCACAGAAAGCAUAGAAAAGGUGACAGGGCAGUCAGAUCUCAGUGAGUAAAUCAGUAAGAAUGUAGAUCAUUGCAUGACAAUAUCACCAUGGCUGCUUUCCUCUUUUAAUCAGAAAAAUAAAAGGGAUAUAUACAAAUAUACAUAUCCCUACUACCCAAAUUAGUAGGUCUCAUCCUUGUAUAAACAUAUAUACCUACUAUUUUUCUGGCUUUUAAAAAACCUUGAAUAACAUAGUAUCAAACCAUACAUUUCUAUCUGAGGUUGACCUAUUUUCAGCCAAAAUUAUCUCACACACACACACACUUCAUUCCUAGCACGUAUUUCCAUG
rnacentral:lncRNA from 1 species